rnacentral:pre_miRNA from 1 species
UGAGUGCAUGUGCGUGUGUGUGUGUGUGUGUGUGUGCGCGCCACAUCUUCUUUAUCCACUCAUUCA